rnacentral:rRNA from 1 species
CUUUUACAGAGGAAUAGCCUUUAGAAAUGAAGAUUAAUGCCUCAUGGUAUUGUAGACUGGCAUCAGUUUAUAAUUAAAGAUUUAUCGGUAAAAGAUGGCUAUGCGUCCUAUUAGUUAGUUGGUAAGGUAACGGCUUACCAAGACAGCGAUAGGUAGGGGUCCUGAGAGGGAGAUCCCCCACACUGGUACUGAGACACGGACCAGACUCCUACGGGAGGCAGCAGUGAGGAAUAUUGGACAAUGGAGGAGACUCUGAUCCAGCCAUGCCGCGUGUAGGAAGAAUGCCCUAUGGGUUGUAAACUACUUUUAUACAGGAAUAAACACUGGUAUGUAUACCAG